AUUGAACGCUGGCGGCAUGCUUUACACAUGCAAGUCGAGCGGCAGCGCGGGGGCAACCCUGGCGGCGAGCGGCGAACGGGUGAGUAAUGCAUCGGAACGUACCCUGGAGUGGGGGAUAACGCCGCGAAAGCGGCGCUAAUACCGCAUAUGCUCUGAGGAGGAAAGUGGGGGACCGCAAGGCCUCACGCUCUGGGAGCGGCCGAUGUCCGAUUAGCUAGUUGGUGGGGUAAAGGCUUACCAAGGCGACGAUCGGUAGCUGGUCUGAGAGGAUGAUCAGCCACACUGGGACUGAGACACGGCCCAGACUCCUACGGGAGGCAGCAGUGGGGAAUUUUGGACAAUGGGGGCAACCCUGAUCCAGCCAUGCCGCGUGAGUGAAGAAGGCCUUCGGGCUGUAAAGCUCUUUGGUCGGAGAAAGCGCCUUGCCUAAUACGCGAGGUGGUUGACGGUACCGGCAGAAUAAGCACCGGCUAACUACGUGCCAGCAGCCGCGU
rnacentral:rRNA from 1 species